AGGUGGCGCAAUGGGUCAUUGCAUCUGGCUGUUGACCAGAGGUUGGUGGUUUGAGCCCACCCAAGGAUA